rnacentral:rRNA from 1 species
GACGAACGCUGGCGGCGUGCUUAACACAUGCAAGUCGAACGGAAAGGCCCUGCUUGCAGGGUACUCGAGUGGCGAACGGGUGAGUAACACGUGGGUGAUCUGCCCUGCACUUCGGGAUAAGCCUGGGAAACUGGGUCUAAUACCGGAUAGGAGCCAUUUUUAGUGUGAUGGUUGGAAAGUUUUUUCGGUGUAGGAUGAGCUCGCGGCCUAUCAGCUUGUUGGUGGGGUAAUGGCCUACCAAGGCGGCGACGGGUAGCCGGCCUGAGAGGGUGGACGGCCACAUUGGGACUGAGAUACGGCCCAGCAUCCUACGGGAGGCAGCAGUGGGGAAGAUUGCACAAUGGGCGCAAGCCUGAUGCAGCGACGCCGCGUGGGGGAUGACGGCCUUCGGGUUGUAAACUCCUUUCGCUAGGGACGAAGCUUUUUGUGACGGUACCUAGAUAAGAAGCACCGGCUAACUACGUG